CACAGAUGUGCCAACACUGAGAGCUAUACUGGGACAGUCUGUCUCCUGCGAAAAAGACCAGCAUGGGCUUUGCAUGACAGUGAGGCAGGAUCGCUCCUCUCCAGCUAUUUUCCUGAUGGCAGAAUCAGAAGAUGACGGUGGCAUAGGAGGACCCAACUAGAUAACUAUCAAAUCAUCCUAAAUACACCAGAAAUCAAACUGAAGACUCACAGAACAAACUCCACAACUAAAGAGAGACAAAGGACCACAUUGAAGAAGCACCAGCACCUUGAAUUAUGAUGUCAUCAUUCUGCAGUCCACUAAGCUCAGAGGAGGCAAAGUAGCAGCUGUCUUCGGUCAUCCCAAAUCCAGGUUCGUUCGACACCAGCCGCCUCCACCAUGCUGCCUAAGUUUGACCCCAACGAGAUCAGAGUCGUAUACCUGAGGUGCAUGGGUUGGGGCACUGAAGAUCAUCCCUCUGGGUUUGUCUCUAAGGCAACCGGUGAUUGGAAGGGUCUGAGGCUGACAGUGAAGAGCUGACCAUUUAGAACAGCCAGGACAGAUUGACAAGGUACCUUCUGCCUCUGCCUUGUUAUCAAAGCCCUCAAGGAACCUCCAAGAGAUAAAAAGAAGCAGAAAACAUUAAGCCAGUGGAAACAUCACUUUUGAUGAAACUGUCAACCCUGCUUGACUGAUGUGACACCGAUCUUUAGCCAGAGAACUCUCUGGAAUCAUUAAAGAGAUCCUGGGGACUGCCCAGUCUGUAGGCUGCAAUGUUGAUGGCUGCUACCCCAUGACAUCAUAGAUAACAUCAAUAGUGGUGUGGUGGAAAGCCCAGCUAGUUAAGAACUACAAAGGAAAAUACUUCAAUAAAGGAUCAUUUGACAACCAAAAAAAAAAGAGGAAGAAGAAGAAGGAAAAAAAAGGCUUAACUUUCUCUCCACUAAUGACUUCUGUCUACACAUGGAGAUAUUUUGACUUACAAGAUUAAAACACCCAGGGAUGCCUGGGUGGCUCAGUGGGUUAAGCGUCUGCCUAUGGCUCAGGUCAUGAUCUCAGGGUCCUGCUCAUUGGGGAGCCUGCUUCUCCCUCUUCCUUUGUUGCUCCUCCUGCUGGUG